ACGACGUACUAAAGCAGCAUCAGCCGAGGUCGCCGCGCUGGGGUAUUUUCUCAAUGAUCGGUUCCAAGAAUCGGAGGCGUCCGAAUUCGGCCGAUUUUAGGUACGACCCGUUGAGUUACUCGCUGAAUUUCGAAGACGAGAUGAGGAGAGACGACGCCGAUGAGUUGCGUGUCAACUUCUCGUCGCGGCUGCCGGCAUCGCCGUCGCAAGUGGCGCCAAUUGUCUCUGGGGAGAUUUUGGCUUGCUUGUAGUUGAAGAAGAGAUUGUAAGUACAUAUAUAUCUGGAAUUUGGAGUUGUGCAGAUAUAAAUAUAAUAAAUUAUUAUAUUAAUUAAUGACGACUCUUCAAACUUCAAUGAUUGGAUAUUAAUUGAUGGGAGUCCCUAUGUUACAAUUAAUGUAACAUACACACUCAACAACAAACACAUAAAUGAUGGACCCAUACAAUUUGUGUGGUUGUUAUUGAGUGUGUAUGUUACAUUAAUUGUAACAUAGCAUUUGCCUUAAUUGAUUAUUAUGGCGUUAUGUGAGUUGUGUGCGAUGAUUAAUCAGUCUUUUCACCGGUAAAAUUUUUGUAUAAGAACAAAAAUAAUCUUGCGAGUUGUAGCAUAAGUCUAAUAGAAAAGACCCAGGUAUUUUUCUUGUAAUGUGCCUUUUACUAUGUGAUGUGAGCCGAUCUGAAAUUAAAGAGUAAAGAAUAAACAGUAAAUACCUUCUUGGUUUCUUGCAGAAGUUAUGAAAGUCAGGAUUUGUUUUUCUGGGAAUUUUGUGAGAGUUUGGUAUUGAGGUGUUGGAUCGAUCAAGC
rnacentral:lncRNA from 1 species